GCGACAUGAGCUCAGCGGGUAAGAGUGUUAUCUUGCCAAGUUGAGGUCACGCCGGGCUCCUUGAAGAUCAGGAACCUCGUAUGUCGCUCCA
rnacentral:tRNA from 1 species